rnacentral:miRNA from 1 species
AUAAUGCAGGAUUUGUGUGUA